ensembl:misc_RNA
UUGAUGGCACUUCUGGACAUGAAUUGUGCUGUUUAUCCCCAAGAAUAGCAUCUGUGCUGACUCAUCAGUAGUGAUGGGGACUGAGCAACCCUCAAAGGGAGAAGCUAGUUCAGUGUCCUGGCCCAUUCAAUCCUUGGCCUCC